rnacentral:rRNA from 1 species
UACAGAGGGUGCAAGCAUUAAUCGGAUUUAUUGGGCGUAAAGAGCGCGUAGGCGGGUUUUUAAGUCAGAUGUGAAAUCCCGGGGCUCAACCCCGGAACAGCAUUUGAAACUAAGAAUCUUGAGGGUAGUCGGAGAAAAUGGAAUUCCACGUGUAGCGGUGAAAUGCGUAGAUAUGUGGAAGAACACCGGUGGCGAAGGCGAUUUUCUAGAUUAUUCCUGACGCUGAGGCGCGAAAGCAAGGGGAUCAAACAGG